rnacentral:rRNA from 1 species
UACGUAGGGCGCAAGCGUUGUCCGGAAUUAUUGGGCGUAAAGAGCUCGUAGGCGGCCUGUUACGUCUGCUGUGAAAUCCCGGGGCUUAACCCCGGGCGUGCAGUGGAUACGGGCAGGCUGGAGGCAGGCAGGGGAGAACGGAAUUCCCGGUGUAGCGGUGAAAUGCGCAGAUAUCGGGAGGAACACCGGUGGCGAAGGCGGUUCUCUGGGCCUGUACUGACGCUUAGGAGCGAAAGCGUGGGGAGCGAACAGG